CAGCAGUGGGGAAUAUUGCACAAUGGGGGAAACCCUGAUGCAGCCAUGCCGCGUGUGUGAAGAAGGCCUUCGGGUUGUAAAGCACUUUCAGUAGGGAGGAAGGUAGUGUAGUUAACACCUGCAUUAUUUGACGUUACCUACAGAAGAAGCACCGGCUAACUCCGUGCCAGCAGCCGCGGUAAUACGGAGGGUGCGAGCGUUAAUCGGAAUUACUGGGCGUAAAGCGCAUGCAGGCGGCCUGUUAAGUCAGAUGUGAAAGCCCGGGGCUUAACCUCGGAAUUGCAUUUGAAACUGGCAGGCUAGAGUCUUGUAGAGGGGGGUAGGAAUUUCAGGUGUAGCGGUGAAAUGCGUAGAGAUCUGAAGGAAUACCAGUGGCGAAGGCGGCCCCCUGGACAAAGACUGACGCUCAGAUGCGAAAGCGUGGGGAGCAAACAGGAUUAGAUACCCUGGUAG
rnacentral:rRNA from 1 species